CGGGCACGGAGCUGCUGGCUCUCUAUAUUCAGAGGCUCGGGAGGCUCUGACUUCAUUCACCACUCAGUCAAGGAGCUGUGCAGACCGCUGCGAGACGGGCUCUGGAUUGCACUGCGCGGACAACUUUCUCCCUGGUGAUUUUCUGAGAGGAUCUGUUCGUUUGGAUUACAUUCUCGUAGGGCCGCCAAAUUACUGUCAUAGGCAGAACAAGAAAAGUAGCCGUGCGUCUCAACACUGUCUAAUUCCAACAUAAGAAGGUGGAGCAGUGUUUCUGAACCCGGGCAGAAGUGCGAAGCCCGUUUGUCAGAGGUUGAAGGACAAGUGCAAUGCGUGUCAGACUUGCCUCUUGGGAUUGUCCCACUUGCGCCUGAGGAGCUACAUGUCGCGCUGCCGCGCAGAGCCCGCUCGAGGGGACCGCGGUCCAAUGUGAAUAACCAGAGUCAACUUCCAGCCUCCUCGGCUUUUCUUCACGCCGACAAGCAAGUGCAGCACGGAGUGUGAGCGAGCCCGCCGAGCAGCUCUGACACCCCGCUCUCUCGCCCCCCCUGAGGGGAUGGUUGUGGAUCCUCGGGGCCAAGGAGCGACUCUGCGGCUCCUUCAGAAUUGCGCAUUUUUCCUGUUUGGUCUUCAUUCAAAAUUAAAGGGAGAUGAGAGCCGCACUUUGUCACUUCCUGCUGUGGACGGCGUACCUGCUGCUGGCCACCGCUGAGGAAGUGGAGUUUCCCCAGGAGCUGAUCGACAGACUGUCCCACAGUGAAAUCCACAGCAUCAGCGACCUCCAGCGGCUACUGGACAUUGACUCCGUAGGUACGGGAAACGAUGUUAUCGAGGAGCCCAAGCACCACAAACAUCACCAAAAGAACUACUCCCGUCAUCAUGGUCACUACAAUGACCUGAAGAGCUCCCAGCUCCACAGCCGACGCAAGAGGAGCAUCGUAGAGGAGGCGGUGCCAGCGGUGUGUAAGACGCGGACGGUGAUCUACGAGAUCCCCAGGAGCCAGGUGGAUCCCACGUCUGCCAACUUCCUGAUAUGGCCGCCCUGUGUGGAGGUGAAACGCUGCACGGGCUGCUGCAACACCAGCAACAUGCGCUGUCAUCCUUCCCGCAAGCACCACCGCACCGUUAAGGUGGCCAAGGUGGAGUAUGUGAGGAGGAGACCCAAGCUGAAAGAGGUCUUUGUGCGGUUAGAGGACCACCUGGAGUGUGUGUGCACGUCACAGCAUCAUGUGGUGGAGCACUCAGAAGCAGAAACAGGCCACCGUAGGGCUAAAGGUAAAAAAAGGAAACCUAAAAAGCUAAGGCCCAGCAAGGAUUUAUUGGCGACAUAGUAAAGUUGCACUCAUUACCCAAAGUCCACUGGAGAGCUGUGAGGGGAACAGUGGACGUGAGGUGAGACCAGUCAGAACAAGGGACUUCGGCGUGGGAGGAACCUAAGUAGAGGAUGUCAUCCAACACGAGGCCUGCCCUGUUGUCCUCUUCCCCACUGCCGUGCAACCUUCGUUUAAAAACACACAAACAUUUCUGUAAAGAUGAGAGACAGAAAAACAGACAGCCGACAAAAUACAUAAGAUGCCAAAGGUGCUUUUUUACAUAAAAAAGAAAAAAGAAAAAAAAAACCCCCACAGUGAUGAGGACUUCCUCUGUGGUACCACACCUACCCAGACAACUGAACCCUGCCAAUGAUUCAGAAGAAAAGGAGACUGUGGAACUUGGCCAGGGCAGAAAGAGGCCGAAGGGAGAUGAUGAAAGGGAUUUGUGUUGAACAUUUGGAGCGACUUUGUUUGAACAAGAUGUGCAGCAGAAAUGACCAUAAAAACCGUUGUAUCAGGCUUUCGUGGGAAUCUGGUGCUCAGACUCCAAAACAGCAGUGGAUGUCCUCCAGCUGGGCAACAUUAAAGUGCCCUGCCCUGUUUAAAUGACUUCUGCAUACACAGGAAGGAAGAAAGAGAGAUAAAGGAAAACAAUGGAAAGUGCUGGAGUUAUGGACGUGUUUUAUUUUUUCAAAAGACUCUCUGUGGAGCAUCAAACAAUUUGAGUUUUUGGAUGUUUGCUCUGAGUUAACUAAAAAGUCUUCUCCGAGAACCCGGGGGGUCUGUGACUUUUUCCACCUGCUGUGUACAGUUAAUUCUGAAAAGGAUGCACCGCUACUUACAAAGUAUUUAUACAUGUGGACAUUUGAUUUUUGUCUCUUCCAGCGCAAAAGAAAGAAAGAAAGAACAAAAGUUAUGUUUUUAUGAUUUUGGAGGCAUGCAAGGGUCCUGUGUGGUCCGGUUCUUUGUAACCAUCAGUAUCACAAUCUCAAUGUCGUUUCUCUUUGUUGUUAUUCUUGUCAUCCAUGUUUCUUAUUAUAUUACAGUAUAUCUGAAUGAUGUCAAGUCUUGUAUAUGGUUUGGAUAUAUGUGUGCAAGGAGGAGAUGUGAGAGUCAGUACAGGAAGAUGCUUUAUUUUUGUUAUGAAAUAUAUUAUGCUUACUUGUAUCCAAGCAGGAAUUAUGUUUAAUUCUUUUGUUGUGGUUGAAUGCCUGUAUUUAAUCCAUUGGAAAAGUUGCAAAAAUAUGGGCAGGGGGUGGAAUAGACAAGGGGAAAAAAGGUUGCCAGUGCUUGUUAGUGUGUGUGAAUCAGUGUGUCACAGCUGUGAAACGGUGGGACAGACUGGCUCAAACAUGGAAACUUACAGCCAUGAUAAGCAUCCCUUUUCAAAUUCUUAUAGUAACAACUUUGUGCAUGCCAACCACAUAAGCACAUGCAUAUACAUGGUGGGAAAGACAGGGUGUGUGUGCGCACAUGAUUUCUCUGCUAAGUGAUGCUAUUUUUAAUUCAUAUCACUAUGACGUUGAUAAGGAAGAUGCCCGCCCAGUCUACUUCACAAACACACUUGUUGUGCCCGGAAGGAGCAAAGUCCACCUUAAAGUGUGAAUGACCGAGCAAAGCAAAUCGACAAGUGCAUGAAUGGGCUCCUUGUUUAGCCGGUCUUUACUCCUCUGCUGACAGGAGAACAAAUCUCAGAUCGCUCCACCCUGUGGAGGGACUCACACCUUGUGCAGCCACAUACCAACAGGACAGAUGAUGAUGGGCGCUCAGAGGUGGCCUGAAAACAGCCCAGCGCUGGCCUGAACGACGAGUGACCCCGCUGGAACAAACAAUUACUUCCUCACCAGUUCCUGUAACGGUGACGAAUGUGUAACCAGGCCAACAUGGUGCAAAAACAACGCUCGUCGUCCACCCCGUGUUCAAAAAGAGGAAGUUUGACAGAGAUUUUUGUGUGAAAGUCGAAAGAGACAUAAUGGACUGAAACAUGGAUGUAUCAGUAACUGCUGAACCGUGAACAUCAGAUCUUUUACGCGCACACACACACACACACACACACACACACACACACACACACACACACACACACACACACACACACACACACACACACACACACACAAAGAGCCCACAUGAAUUAACUUCCAUCAGUUGACUGGUGCUAUAUUUAUAAGGCAGAUUUUUCAUCACUGUUCACGUUCACAUUUACAUCAGUGUAAUAGUUUUCUCAGUAAACCAGGGACCAUGCUAAGAGAUAUUUGACGGAAGAAAAUGCCAUUACACAAUGACAAAGUCUUUACUACUUUUAUUUUGGGCUUCCAUUGGAUAAAUACAGCAGUAAUCAUAAUUUAUAUAUUUAUGUUCUCAACAAUAAAUAUAUUUCUGCUUAUGAAAGUGUU